rnacentral:rRNA from 1 species
UACGUAGGGUCCGAGCGUUGUCCGGAAUUACUGGGCGUAAAGAGCUCGUAGGUGGUUUGUCGCGUUGUUCGUGAAAACUCACAGCUCAACUGUGGGCGUGCGGGCGAUACGGGCAGACUAGAGUACUGCAGGGGAGACUGGAAUUCCUGGUGUAGCGGUGGAAUGCGCAGAUAUCAGGAGGAACACCGGUGGCGAAGGCGGGUCUCUGGGCAACAACUGACGCUGGAGGAGCGAAAGCGUGGGGAGCGAACAGG